GAAAUGCGAUAAGUAAUGUGAAUUGCAGAAUUCCGUGACUCCUCGAAUCUUUGAACGCACAUUGCGCCCUCUGGCAUUCCGGGGGGCAUGCCUGUCCGAGCGUCAUUACGCACCCUCAAGCCCGGCUUGUGUGAUGGGCCCCGGCGUCUCGUUCGCGAGACGGGCCCGAAAGGCAGCGGCGGCGUCGACCCGAUGAGCCCGAGCGUAUGGGGACUUCUGUCACACGUUCGCGGUGCGGACCGGCGCCUGCUUGACUUUUCUGAUUAUCCAGGUUGACCUCGGAUCAGGUAGGGAUACCCGCUGAACUUAAGC
rnacentral:misc_RNA from 1 species